rnacentral:rRNA from 1 species
AGUCGAACGCAGUAGCAAUACUGAGUGGCAAACGGGUGAGUAUAAUGUGGGAAUCUGCCUUUUGGUUUGGAAUAACACGGGGAAACUUGUGCUAAUACCGAAUAAGCCCUUACGGGGAAAGUUUUAACGCCGAAAGAUGAGCCCGCACUUGAUUAGCUAGUUGGUAAGGUAAAAGCUUACCAAGGCAAUGAUCAAUAGCUGUUCUUAGAGGAAGACCAGCCACAUUGGGACUGAGACACGGCCCAGACUCCUACGGGAGGCAGCAGUGGGGAAUCUUGCACAAUGGGGGAAACCCUGAUGCAGCGAUGCCGCGUGAGUGAAGAAGGCCUUUGGGUUGUAAAACUCUUUCGUCGGGGAAGAAAAUGACUGUACCCGAAUAAGAAGGUCCGGCUAACUUCGUGCCAGCAGCCGCGGUAAUACGAAGGGACCUAGCGUAGUUCGGAAUUACUGGGCUUAAAGAGCUCGUAGGUGGUUAAAAAAGUUGAUGGUGAAAUCCCAAGGCUCAACCUUGGAACUGCCAUCAAAACUUUUUAGCUAGAGUGUGAUAGAGGUAAGUGGAAUUUCUAGUGUAGAGGUGAAAUUCGUAGAUAUUAGAAAGAACACCAAAUGCGAAGGCAACUUACUGGGUCACUACUGACACUGAGGAGCGAAAGCAUGGGUAGCGAAGAGGAUUAGAUACCCUCGUAGUCCAUGCCAUAAACGAUGUGUGCUAGACGUUGGAAAUAUAUUUUUCAGUGUCGCAGCGAAAGCAUUAAGCACACCGCCUGGGGAGUACGACCGCAAGGUUAAAACUCAAAU